UUUAAUUGGAGAGUUUGAUCCUGGCUCAGAAUGAACGCUGGCGGCGUGCUUAACACAUGCAAGUCGCACGAGAACUCUUUAGCUUGCUAAAGAUA
rnacentral:rRNA from 1 species